CAGUGUAAUUGUGGAUGGCGAGAGCCCUGAAAUACAGCUGGACAGCAGCGGUCUACAUCACUGCCCCUUCUGCAGAUACAAAGGGUCAAAAUGUGAUAUCGACCAUCACAUUAAAUGCCAUGCCUCGGUUAAAUACAGAGGUCUGCAGAGGAGCUUUCAGGAAGCAGGAAGAGAAGACGGGAGGAAAAAAAGCUACAGGAUAAAGAUCUCUGCACAAAAAGGGCUAGAGUUGCUCCAACAGCAUCCAGCUCUGAAGGAUCAGGUCAUGUAUAGACUGUCAAUCCAGACAAAACUGAAGACCAGGAACUGGAACCUGGGAACCUGGAAGAUUAUGUUGUCCUGAAGGACACAAUUCAGGCAGCAGCAUGGUGCCAGUUACAGUCCUUCAAGGACAGCGUUUCUCUCCCAGAGGUCAUUGGGAUGGAAGGUUGGGAGCAGAUGGCAGCAUCAACACAGCGCAAAUCCCAUGACGGCGGGGAUGAGGAAGAAACGUGGAAACCAUUCCAAUUCUCAUUCAGAUUACAUACUGACUAUGAACUGUUCUGUGUGGAGAUGAUGGACAGGAGAAACCUGAAGGUGUUUGCCUCUUUUGAGUCAAACACCUCUCCCCCUCCCCGUCCCCCUCCCCGUGAUGCCUGCGCCACACGACUCCAAUGUAGUCUGAUGAUGCAGCAUAAUGGCGGCGCUUGGCAGCUAUGGCGGCGGUGACGGCGAUGUCGGGCGACAGAGCGUGAAGCAAGAGUGGCGUCCACCUCACUGAGGAAGGCGUCAGUGUGUUCCCCCCCCCCCCGUUGAGACUUUGUUUGUUCUACUCUUUAUUGAUUUAUCUUUUAUGUUAAUAGUU